UUGGCCAACCACCCCCACCCCCUGCCCACGUUUCUGGCUGAACUCUGGCAGCCCCAUGACUUGCAGGAGCACAGGCAGGUUGGGGGUAACCCUGCCUUCUCUGGGGGGUACUCACUCAGCUGUGAACUCGUUGGUUCCCACAGGGAUGCAGUACACGAACUGCAUGGCGCUCCACAGCCGGUGGAACUCCACACACUCAUCGACGUGCAUGACGCCAUUGGUGGGCGGUGGGCCCCGCCAGAUGGGGUCCUGCAGGUAGCUCCGAAUGCGGGUCAGGAUGACCUCGAACAUGGACAGGCCACAGCACAGCCGCUCCUUGGUCAGGAGGUCACCCUCGCGAGCAAUGGCGAUUUGCAUGUUUUGCCAGAAGAGAGGCCACCUUCUGUCCUCCGCUGAGGAUUUGAGUCCUUUUGCCCUUGGUGAGAACACCAAAGAGGACCGCCGGAAUGCGAGUUCAAAAGCAGAUUUCAAUCCUAAAUCUCUUAAACAGUCAGCAUUGGCUUGUCUCACUAGAAUACCCUGUUUCUCUUCUAGAAUUCUUCCCCUGCCUGCCCCCAAAAUGUGAAGCUUGCUGAAAUCAACUUGAAAGGAGAUAGCACAUGCCUUUUGUUUCUCCGCUCUCCCCCUAUUUCUCUUCCUUCCUGCUCCCUGCAUAAUCUGAAUUCUCUGAAGGCAGGAGGAAGCCAAGGUCAGAUUCAGGCAAGGUAAAUUUCUGAUGUGUGUGGACACGGAAGAGAAGAUGUCUAAAAGGCAACUAGAUGUGAGGCCUAGGCCCUGCAGAGUCUGCAGAGUAGAUCUGAGCUUGGAAGUCAGCAUGGGAUGGAGGCUGACCCCAGGGGAAAGGAACUGUGCAAGUGCAAGGUUUGCAUAAGUGGGUGCUUCUCAGGGUGACCAAGACCCUUCCGGAGACUUCAGUUCCUCUGACUAUAUGAGACCCAAGAGAAAAACAGCACAAAGUGCUCCUUGAGUUCAAGGGAAUACAUAAAUUCUGAACAUUUCCAUGUCUACUAGCAUACAACCUAAACAGGGAUAAAAAGACACCUUUCAAGUCAGAAAUAGGGAAGAUGCCACUUCUCUGCAUUUGCUGCUACCUCUUUAUUCCUUUCUUUAGGUCACCAAAUAUCUAUUGAGUGCUUGCUCUGUGAUCUGGCAGACAACUCAAAGGCACAGAGAUGAAGAUGAAACACACCAUGGAGCCAGGGAAGGGCCUGGAUGCUGUGGGAAACACUACAACAGGUAGAGCUCUGUAAAAAUGAGAUUUCAAUGAAGUUUACCAUCUAGUGGAGAAGAGAUCCAAGGACACCCGUGACUGAGAAAUAAAACAGAAUCAAUUGGGUGCAAUAGGAGAAGUUGCUGACAAAGGGCUUUGGAGACUGAGAAGAGAGAGAAACACCACCAAGUUCCUUGCAGAGAAAGGCAUUUGAUAAAAUGUGUGUUGAAUAAAAGGACCAGCGGUUUGUGGAGGAUGAGGAAAUGAUGGCUGUGAGAUGGGCCUGAGAGGAGGGGCAGGGUUUUGAACUGGGAGGAAAGGUGCCAUCCCAUUCAGGAGGAGGAUGAAAUCAGGGAUAAAAUGAGGUGGCUGAUAUGAAAGGAGUGGGGCAUCCUUGGCUUGGGCUUGUGAGGAGUGUGGGCCACAGUGCUAUGGGCAGUCAGGAGCCAGGCUUUCAGUUCUAACGGGGCUUAGAGAAAAGGCCGAUUCAAGUCUCUUUGCUGAUGGCAAGAGGAGGAAAGGGGGCUCUUGGUAACCGAGGACCUGCUUCUUAAGCGCUGGAGACUUCGCAUUCAUUACCUCACUUAACACUAAGAACUCUGUGAGGUAGCUCCUCAGUCCCAGCACUUUUCAGGCGUGGAAACUAAGGCUUAGAGAAGGAGUGUAC
rnacentral:lncRNA from 1 species